UCUCCAUAGGGAAUGGAAGUGCUGCUGGCCACUGAACAGUCCCAAGCCCACAAAUGCUCACCACAAACGUUACUAUUUAAAUCCAGAAGAGAAGGCAGGUGCUUCUUGAUAAAACCAGGGCAGAGUUACAUGGUGUGGAGGAAAAGGGUGGGCUUGAGUUUCUGGCAAGCUCCAUAUGUAAGGGUUAAAAUCACCUGAGGUGAGGGACUCUAAGAGGCGCAGUGCUCAAACCUCCACUUGUACUGACUGUGUGACCUUGAGCAAGUGAUUUCAGCUCUCUGAGCUUCCGAGCUCUGAAGGCCCAGUUAGAUGAUACACCUAGAACACGCCUGGAACGAGAGCGGGUACAUGGCAAACACUAAGGAAGAUCUAGCUACGGUGAUUGCAGUGUCUUCUGUUUAGAGAAGAGGACUGGCUUCUCCUGCACCUGAGGCCUGGAGGGUAAAGCAGAGGAGCAGAAGCAAUAAACAUGGGAGACAGCACUGGCUUCAGGAACUGAUGGAUCCAGGUGCUCACGUGUGUCUUCCGUCACCCCUCUGCCUCAGCUUCUCAGAAAGCCUUUCACAUUUAGUGGACCCAGUAGCCCACCAGCAGAAAAGAAGCUGUCUUCCCCAACAGAUUCACAAAAGUCCUAGGAUUGCAGAACAUUAGACAACUUGAACUUUGGUCUGAUGAGAACACUCUGAUUCAUCAAAGCUAGAUUAUGUGACCACCCCUAACAUGUGGGUGGGAAGUGGGGAGAGAAGAGAGGAGGUAGUCUCCUCAAACACUUUAAGAGUGGAGUUGAGGUGAUUUCCCCAAAGGAAAAAUUGGGGUGCUGUCACCAAAAGAAGAGAGGAUGGAUAAUGAGCAGGCAAAAACCCCAAAUGUUCCCCUAUGGGAGUAAAAUCCACUUGAGGCAUAGGCCACUUGGGGAGAAGACCCGUAAGCUCCUUCUCCAGGAGGGUUAUCUGAUUAUAAGAGGAGGCUGGUAACCACUGAGUCUGCACGAAAGCUUUUCCUAGGCCUGGUCCUUGGGGCUACAGCUUUAUUCUAGGGCAUGUUUAUUUGAGGAACAUGGGCUCCUUGAGAAGCACUGGAAACAAGGGGACAGAAUGGCUUCUAAAUAAAACAAAUCCUAGCCUGGAAGUUCUGAUCUCUACUCUGCCACCUACCAACUGGGCUGACCUUGGGCAAAUCCUCUCACUUCUCUGAGCCUUAGCCUCCUAAUCUGUGAGAUGUCAGUAAUAGUACCUACCUUGCAUGUUCGCCACAGAGAUUCAAUUAAUUUAAAUAGGUAGAGGACUUGGGGCAGUGCCUAGGACAACAUUACACUCAGGGAUGGUG
rnacentral:lncRNA from 10 species